rnacentral:rRNA from 1 species
UGCAAGUCGAGCGAAUCUUGAGGUGCUUGCACCUCUUGGUUAGCGGCGGACGGGUGAGUAACACGUGGGCAACCUGCCUGUAAGACUGGGAUAACUUCGGGAAACCGGAGCUAAUACCGGAUAAUCCUUUUCCUUUCAUGAGGAAAAGCUGAAAGUCGGUUUACGCUGACACUUACAGAUGGGCCCGCGGCGCAUUAGCUAGUUGGUGAGGUAACGGCUCACCAAGGCGACGAUGCGUAGCCGACCUGAGAGGGUGAUCGGCCACACUGGGACUGAGACACGGCCCAGACUCCUACGGGAGGCAGCAGUAGGGAAUCUUCCGCAAUGGACGAAAGUCUGACGGAGCAACGCCGCGUGAGCGAUGAAGGCCUUCGGGUCGUAAAGCUCUGUUGUUAGGGAAGAACAAGUAUCGGAGUAACUGCCGGUACCUUGACGGUACCUAACCAGAAAGCCACGGCUAACUACGUGCCAGCAGCCGCGGUAAUACGUAGGUGGCAAGCGUUGUCCGGAAUUAUUGGGCGUAAAGCGCGCGCAGGCGGUCCUUUAAGUCUGAUGUGAAAGCCCACGGCUCAACCGUGGAGGGUCAUUGGAAACUGGGGGACUUGAGUACAGAAGAGGAAAGCGGAAUUCCACGUGUAGCGGUGAAAUGCGUAGAGAUGUGGAGGAACACCAGUGGCGAAGGCGGCUUUCUGGUCUGUAA